AUUGAACGCUGGCGGCAGGCCUAACACAUGCAAGUCGAGCGAGCGGCGGACGGGUGAGUAAUGUAUGGGGACUGCCCGAUAGAGGGGGAUAACUACUGGAACCGGUGGCUAAUACCGCAUACUAUCGGAUAACCCAUAUGGGAUUAGCUAGUAGGUGGGGUAAAGGCUCACCAAGGCGACGAUCUCUAGCUGGUCUGAGAGGAUGAUCAGCCACACUGGAACGGAGACACGGCCCAGACUCCUACGGAGGCAGCAGUGGGGAAUAUUGCACAAUGGGCGAAAGCCUGAUGCAGCCAUGCCGCGUGUAUGAAGAAGGUCUUAGGGUUGUAAAGUACUUUCAGCGGGGAGGCGUGACCCGCAGAAGAAGCACCGGCUAACUCCGUGCCAGCAGCCGCGGUAAUAG
rnacentral:rRNA from 1 species